rnacentral:rRNA from 1 species
UACGUAGGGUGCGAGCGUUGUCCGGAAUUACUGGGUGUAAAGGGUGCGUAGGCGGGCAUGUGCGUCGGAGGUUAAAUACAACGGCUUAACCGUUGAACUGCCUUCGAAACGGCAUGUCUUGAAUGUGGGAGAGGAUGAUGGAAUUCCUGGUGUAGCGGUGAAAUGCGUAGAUAUCAGGAGGAACACCGGUGGCGAAGGCGGUCAUCUGGCCCACUAUUGACGCUGAGGCACGAAAGCGUGGGGAG